CGUAGGGUGCAAGCGUUAAUCGGAAUUACUGGGCGUAAAGCGUGCGCAGGCGGUUCUAUAAGACAGAUGUGAAAUCCCCGGGCUCAACCCUGGGAACUGCAUUUGUGACUGUAGAGCUGGAGUACGGUAGAGGGGGAUGGAAUUCCGCGUGUAGCAGUGAAAUGCGUAGAUAUGCGGAGGAACACCGAUGGCGAAGGCAAUCCCCUGGACCUGUACUGACGCUCAUGCACGAAAGCGUGGGGAGCAAACAGGAUUAGAUACCCUGGUAGUCCACGCCCUAAACGAUGUCAACUGGUUGUUGGGAAGGUUCCUUCUCAGUUAACGUAGCUAACGCGUGAAGUUGACCGCCUGGGGAGUACGGCCGCAAGGUUG
rnacentral:rRNA from 1 species